rnacentral:rRNA from 1 species
CACGUAGGGCGCAAGCGUUGUCCGGAAUUAUUGGGCGUAAAGAGCUCGUAGGCGGUCUGUUACGUCUGCUGUGAAAACCCGGGGCUUAACCCUGGGCUUGCAGUGGAUACGGGCAGACUAGAGGCAGGUAGGGGAGAAUGGAAUUCCCGGUGUAGCGGUGAAAUGCGCAGAUAUCGGGAGGAACACCAAUGGCGAAGGCAGCUCGCUGGGACGUGACUGACGCUGAGGCGCGAAGGUCAGGGGAGCAAACGGG